rnacentral:rRNA from 1 species
GACGAACGCUGGCGGCGUGCUUAACACAUGCAAGUCGAACGGAAAGGCCCUGCUUUUGUGGGGUGCUCGAGUGGCGAACGGGUGAGUAACACGUGAGUAACCUGCCCUUGACUUUGGGAUAACUUCAGGAAACUGGGGCUAAUACCGGAUAGGAGCUCCUGCUGCAUGGUGGGGGUUGGAAAGUUUCGGCGGUUGGGGAUGGACUCGCGGCUUAUCAGCUUGUUGGUGGGGUAGUGGCUUACCAAGGCUUUGACGGGUAGCCGGCCUGAGAGGGUGACCGGCCACAUUGGGACUGAGAUACGGCCCAGACUCCUACGGGAGGCAGCAGUGGGGAAUAUUGCACAAUGGGCGGAAGCCUGAUGCAGCAACGCCGCGUGCGGGAUGACGGCCUUCGGGUUGUAAACCGCUUUCGCCUGUGACGAAGCGUGAGUGACGGUAAUGGGUAAAGAAGCACCGGCUAACUACGUGCCAGCAGCCGCGGUGAUACGUAGGGUGCGAGCGUUGUCCGGAUUUAUUGGGCGUAAAGGGCUCGUAGGUGGUUGAUCGCGUCGGAAGUGUAAUCUUGGGGCUUAACCCUGAGCGUGCUUUCGAUACGGGUUGACUUGAGGAAGGUAGGGGAGAAUGGAAUCCCUGGUGGAGCGGUGGAAUGCGCAGAUAUCAGGAGGAACACCAGUGGCGAAGGCGGUUCUCUGGGCCUUUCCUGACGCUGAGGAGCGAAAGCGUGGGGAGCGAACAGGCUUAGAUACCCUGGUAGUCCACGCUGUAAACGGUGGGUACUAGGUGUGGGGUCCAUUCCACGGGUUCCGUGCCGUAGCUAACGCUUUAAGUACCCCGCCUGGGGAGUACGGCCGCAAGGCUAAAACUCAAAGGAAUUGACGGGGCCCCGCACAAGCGGCGGAGCAUGCGGAUUAAUUCGAUGCAACGCGUAGAACCUUACCUGGGUUUGACAUGGAUCGGGAGCGCUCAGAGAUGGGUGUGCCUCUUUUGGGGUCGGUUCACAGGUGGUGCAUGGCUGUCGUCAGCUCGUGUCGUGAGAUGUUGGGUUAAGUCCCGCAACGAGCGCAACCCUUGUUCACUGUUGCCAGCACGUUAUGGUGGGGACUCAGUGGAGACCGCCGGGGUCAACUCGGAGGAAGGUGGGGAUGACGUCAAGUCAUCAUGCCCCUUAUGUCCAGGGCUUCACGCAUGCUACAAUGGCUGGUACAGAGAGUGGCGAGCCUGUGAGGGUGAGCGAAUCUCGGAAAGCCGGUCUCAGUUCGGAUUGGGGUCUGCAACUCGACCUCAUGAAGUCGGAGUCGCUAGUAAUCGCAGAUCAGCAACGCUGCGGUGAAUACGUUCCCGGG